GUGUCAGCAGCCGCGGUAAAACCAGCACCUCAAGUUGUCAGGAGGAUUAUUGGGCCUAAAGCAUCCGUAGCCUGCUCUGUAAGUUUCCGGUUAAAUCCAUUAGCUCAACUAAUGGGCUGCCGGAAAAACUGCAAAGCUAGGAAGUGGGAGAGGUAGACGGUACUCGGUAGGAAGGGGUAAAAUCCUUUGAUCUAUUGAUGACCACCUGUGGCGAAGGCGGUCUACCAGAACACGUUCGACGGUGAGGGAUGAAAGCUGGGGGAGCAAACCGGAUUAGAUACCCGGGUAGUCCCAGCUGUAAACGAUGCAGACUCGGUGAUGCGCCGGCUUGUGGCCAGUGCAGUGCCGCAGGGAAGCCGUUAAGUUUGCCGCCUGGGAAGUACGUACGCAAGUAUGAAACUUAAAGGAAUUGGCGGGGGAGCACCACAAGGGGUGAAGCCUGCGGUUCAAUUGGAGUCAACGCCAGAAAUCUUACCCGGAGAGACAGCAGAAUGAAGGUCAAGCUGAAGACUUUACCAGACAAGCUGAGAGGUGGUGCAUGGCCGUCGCCAGCUCGUGCCGUGAGAUGUCCUGUUAAGUCAGGUAACGAGCGAGAUCCCUGCCUCUAGUUGCCACCAUUACUCUCAGGAGUAGUGGGGCGAAUUAGCGGGACCGCCACAGUUAAUGUGGAGGAAGGAAGGGGCCACGGCAGGUCAGUAUGCCCCGAAACUCUGGGGCCACACGCGGGCUGCAAUGGUAGUGACAAUGAGUUCCGAAACCGAAAGGUGGAGGUAAUCUUCAAACGCUACCACAGUUAUGAUUGAGGGCUGCAACUCGCCCUCAUGAAUAUGGAAUCCCUAGUAACUGCGUGUCAUUAUCGCGCGGUGAAUACGUCCCUGCUCCUUGCACACACCGCCCGUC
rnacentral:rRNA from 1 species